GCCUGAGUGGCUCAGCUGGCUAAGCAUCUGACUUCAGCUCAGGUCAUGAUCUCACAGCUCGUGAGUUCGAGCCACACGUCAGGCU
rnacentral:tRNA from 1 species